GAUCAAGCUAUAACGAGCGUAUGGUGAAUGCCUUGGCAAUUGGCGCCGAAGAAGGACGCGAUUAACUGCGAAAAGCGCGGGGGAGAUGUAAGUAAUCUAUUAUCCCGCGGUCUCCGAAUGAGGAAACUCAACGAAGGUAAUUCUUCGUUAUCCUGCAAUCAAUAAAUAGUUGCAGCGAAGGGAACCCACUGAACUGAACCAUCUAAGUAAGUGGAGGAAAAGAAAGUAAAACAACGAUUCUGCUAGUAGUGGCGAGCGAACGCGGAAGAGCCCAAACCGAUUGGGGUAACCUGAUCGGGGUUUAGGACCACAUCAAAGCAUCAAACAAAUCUAGGCGAAGAUAUCUGGAAAGAUAUACAAAAUAGGGUAACAGUCCCGUAGCCGAAAGACGAGUUUGGCGAGUGGUAUCCAGAGUAGCACAGGACACGAGAAAUCCGGUGUGAAUAUGCGGGGUCCAUCCCGUAAGGCUAAAUACGACCAAUUGACCGAUAGAGCAAUAGUACCGUGAGGGAAAGGUGAAAAGAACCCCGGGAGGGGAGUGAAAUAGAAUCUGAAACCGUAUGCUUACAAGCACUGGUAGGGCUUUAUAUGCCUGACCAGGUACUUUUUGUAGAACGGGCCGGCGAGUUACGUUGUGUGGCAAGGUUAAGUGAUUAAAUCACGGAGCCGAAGCGAAAGCGAGUCUGAAUAGGGCGAAAAUCACAGUCAUAUUACGUAGACCCGAAACCCAGUGAGCUUGCCAUGAGCAGGUUGAAGUAGGGGUAACACCCUAUGGAGGACCGAACCCACGUUCGUUGAAACGACCGGGGAUGACUUGUGGCAAGAGGAGAAAUUCCAAUCGAACUGGGUUAUAGCUGGUUCUCCUCGAAAUACUUUUAGGAGUAACCUUAUAUGAACUUUUUACGGGGGUAGAGCACUGAAUAGACUAGGGGGAGUCAAAUCCUACUGAAUCUUAUCAAACUCCGAAUACCGUUAAAAUGCAUAUGGGAGUCAGGCGGCGAGAGUUAAGUUCCGUCGCCAAAAGGGAAACAGCCCAGAUCUACAGCUAAGGUCCCUAAAUAUAGUUUAAGUGGUUAAGGAUGUUCAAACGCGUAGACAGCUAGGAUGUUGGCUUAGAAGCAGCCACUCAUUAAAAGAGUGCGUAAUAGCUCACUAGUCGAUGUGUUUGUGCGCCGAAGAUUGUCGGGGCUUAAAACUAUUACCGAAGCUUAGGAUUUAACCGCAAGGUUAAGUGGUAGAGGAGCAAUCGUAUCGGGCUGAAGCCAUAGCGUAAGCAGUGGUGGACUGAUACGAAGAGAGAAUGCCGGCAUGAGUAGCGAGAGCGAAGUGAGAAUCUUCGCCGUCGAAUGAGCAAGGUUUCCUGGGGAAGGUUCGUCCCCCCAGGGUAAGUCAGGACCUAAGACGAGGCCGAAAGGCGUAGCCGAUGGACAGCUGGUAGAUAUUCCAGCACCACCGCAUAACGAUAAAGACAAGAAGCAGGGACACAGGAGGAUAGCGAAACCAUGGGGAUGGAAAUCCGUGGCGAGAUAACGAGUAGGGGUCGGCAGUGAAGUACACUGACCCACAAAAAUAACAUUUUGAACUAUGAGUUAAAUCGGGAAUGAAAUUAGUAAGGAAGUUCGCAAAUUCACACUGGCGAGAAAAGCUGCUAUUGAGUUAUGAGGUGCCUGUACCGCAAACCGACACAGGUGCUCGAUGAGAGAAUCAUAAGACGGACGGGAUAACCCUUGUUAAGGAACUCGGCAAAUUGACCACAUAACUUCGGGAAAAGUGGUGCCUGCGAUUAAGUUCGUAGGCCGCAGUGAAAUGGCCCAAGCGACUGUUUACCAAAAACACAGCUCUCUGCAAACACGUAAGUGGAAGUAUAGGGGGUGACGCCUGCCCGGUGCCAGAAGGUUAAGAGGACUUGUUAGCGCAAGCGAAGCAUCGAAUUGAAGCCCUGGUGAACGGCGGCCGUAACUAUAACGGUCCUAAGGUAGCGAAAUUCCUUGUCGGGUAAAUUCCGACCCGCAUGAAUGGCGUAACGACUUGGGCACUGUCUCGACAGGGGACCCGGCGAAAUUGAAGUAUACGUGAAGAUACGUAUUUCCCGUGACUGGACGGAAAGACCCCGUAGAGCUUUACUGUAAGUUCAUAUUGUAUUCCUGAAAUUGAUGUGUAGGAUAGGUGGGAGCCGUUGAAGCGCUGGCGCUAGCUGGUGUGGAGGCAACCUUGAAAUACCACCCUUUAAUUUCGGGAAUUCUAACCGAUUGCCAUUAUCUGGGAUUGGGACAGUGUGUGCUGGACAGUUUGACUGGGGCGGUCGCCUCCUAAAGAGUAACGGAGGCGUUCAAAGGUUCACUCAGUAUGGUUGGAAACCAUACGUAGAGCGCAAUAGCAUAAGUGAGCUUUACUGUAAGGCCUACAAGCCAAGCAGUUACGAAAGUAGGAUAUAGUGAUCCGGCGGUAGAUUAUGGAAUUGCCGUCGCUUAACGGAUAAAAGUUACCUCGGGGAUAACAGGCUGAUUCCUCCCAAGCGUCCACAGCGACGGGGGAGUUUGGCACCUCGAUGUCG
rnacentral:rRNA from 1 species